GGGGCGGCAGGGUAGCCUAGUGGUUAGAGUGUAGAGGAGGCAGGGUAGCCUAGUGGUUAGAGUGGAGAGGUGGCAGGGUAGCCUAGUGGUUAGAGUGGAGGGGCGGCAGGGUAGCCUAGUGGUUAGAGUGGAGGGGCGGCAGGGUAGCCUAGUGGUUAGAGUGGAGGGGCGGCAGGGUAGCCUAGUGGGUAGAGUGGAGCCUAGUGGUUAGAGUGGAGGGGCGGCAGGGUAGCCUAGUGGUUAGAGUGGAGGGGCGGCAGGGUAGCCUAGUGGUUAGAGUGGAGGGGCGGCAGGGUAGCCUAGUGGUUAGAGUGGAGGGGCGGCAGGGUAGCCUAGUGGUUAGAGUGGAGGGGCGGCAGG
ensembl:lncRNA